UACGUAGGGUGCAAGCGUUGUCCGGAAUUAUUGGGCGUAAAGAGCUCGUAGGCGGUUUGUCGCGUCUGCUGUGAAAACUCGGGGCUUAACCCCGGGCCUGCAGUGGGUACGGGCAGACUAGAGUGCGGUAGGGGAGACUGGAAUUCCUGGUGUAGCGGUGAAAUGCGCAGAUAUCAGGAGGAACACCGGUGGCGAAGGCGGGUCUCUGGGCCGGUACUGACGCUGAGACGCGAAAGCGUGGGGAGCGAACAGG
rnacentral:rRNA from 1 species